rnacentral:rRNA from 1 species
UUGCUGGCGACCGGCGCACGGGUGAGUAACACGUAUCCAACCUGCCCUUUACUCGGGGAUAGCCUUUCGAAAGAAAGAUUAAUACCCGAUAGCAUAAUGAUUCCGCAUGGUUUCAUUAUUAAAGGAUUCCGGUAAAGGAUGGGGAUGCGUUCCAUUAGGUUGUUGGUGAGGUAACGGCUCACCAAGCCUUCGAUGGAUAGGGGUUCUGAGAGGAAGGUCCCCCACAUUGGAACUGAGACACGGUCCAAACUCCUACGGGAGGCAGCAUG